rnacentral:rRNA from 1 species
CAAUAGCGUAUAUUAAAGUUGUUGCAGUUAAAAGCUCGUAGUUGGAUAUCUGGUGGGAGCAAUGGGUCUCGCGCUUAGCGCGGGUACUUCAAUUGACUCCGGCCAUCCUUGGGGAGAGCCCGUCUGGCAUUAGGUUGUCGGGGCGGGGGAGUCCCCAUCGUUUACUGUGAAAAAUUAGAGUGUUCAAAGCAGGCUUAUGCCGCUGAAUAUAUUAGCAUGGAAUAAUAAGAUAGGACUUUGGUACUAUUUUUGUUGGUUUGUGUACCUAAGUAAUGAUUAAUAGGAACAGUCGGGGGUAUUCAUAUUCCGUUGUCAGAGGUGAAAUUCUUGGAUUUAUGGAAGAUGAACUUAUGCGAAAGCAUUUACCAAGGAUGUUUUCAUUAAUCAAGAACGAAAGUUAGGG